rnacentral:rRNA from 1 species
CUACGGAGGGUGCAAGCGUUACUCGGAAUCACUGGGCGUAAAGCGCGCGCAGGCGGCUAUUUAAGUUGGAUGUGAAAGCCUACGGCUCAACCGUAGAACUGCGUCCAAAACUAUUUAGCUAGAGUGUGGGAGAGGAAGAUGGAAUUAGUUGUGUAGGGGUAAAAUCCGUAGAGAUAACUAGGAAUACCAAAAGCGAAGGCAAUCUUCUGGAACACUACUGACGCUGAGGCGCGAAAGCGUGGGGAGCAAACGGGAUUAGAAACCCUAGUAGUCC